AGAGUUUGAUCCUGGCUCAGGAUGAACGCUAGCUACAGGCUUAACACAUGCAAGUCGAGGGGCAGCAUGGUCUUAGCUUGCUAAGGCCGAUGGCGACCGGCGCACGGGUGAGUAACACGUAUCCAACCUGCCGUCUACUCUUGGACAGCCUUCUGAAAGGAAGAUUAAUACAAGAUGGCAUCAUGAGUCCGCAUGUUCACAUGAUUAAAGGUAUUCCGGUAGACGAUGGGGAUGCGUUCCAUUAGAUAGUAGGCGGGGUAACGGCCCACCUAGUCUUCGAUGGAUAGGGGUUCUGAGAGGAAGGUCCCCCACAUUGGAACUGAGACACGGUCCAAACUCCUACGGGAGGCAGCAGUGAGGAAUAUUGGUCAAUGGGCGAGAGCCUGAACCAGCCAAGUAGCGUGAAGGAUGACUGCCCUAUGGGUUGUAAACUUCUUUUAUAAAGGAAUAAAGUCGGGUAUGCAUACCCGUUUGCAUGUACUUUAUGAAUAAGGAUCGGCUAACUCCGUGCCAGCAGCCGCGGUAAUACGGAGGAUCCGAGCGUUAUCCGGAUUUAUUGGGUUUAAAGGGAGCGUAGAUGGGUUGUUAAGUCAGUUGUGAAAGUUUGCGGCUCAACCGUAAAAUUGCAGUUGAUACUGGAUAUCUUGAGUGCAGUUGAGGCAGGCGGAAUUCGUGGUGUAGCGGUGAAAUGCUUAGAUAUCACGAAGAACUCCGAUUGCGAAGGCAGCCUGCUAAGCUGCAACUGACAUUGAGGCUCGAAAGUGUGGGUAUCAAACAGGAUUAGAUACCCUGGUAGUCCACACGGUAAACGAUGAAUACUCGCUGUUUGCGAUAUACAGCAAGCGGCCAAGCGAAAGCGUUAAGUAUUCCACCUGGGGAGUACGCCGGCAACGGUGAAACUCAAAGGAAUUGACGGGGGCCCGCACAAGCGGAGGAACAUGUGGUUUAAUUCGAUGAUACGCGAGGAACCUUACCCGGGCUCAAACGACGCAGGAAUGUUUUUGAAAGGAGGCAGCCCUUCGGGGCCUGCGUCGAGGUGCUGCAUGGUUGUCGUCAGCUCGUGCCGUGAGGUGUCGGCUUAAGUGCCAUAACGAGCGCAACCCCCAUUGACAGUUGCUAACAGGUAAAGCUGAGGACUCUGUCGAGACUGCCGGCGCAAGCUGUGAGGAAGGCGGGGAUGACGUCAAAUCAGCACGGCCCUUACGUCCGGGGCGACACACGUGUUACAAUGGCAGGUACAGCGGGAGGCCACCUGGCGACAGGGAGCGGAACCCGAAAGCCUGUCUCAGUUCGGAUUGGAGUCUGCAACCCGACUCCAUGAAGCUGGAUUCGCUAGUAAUCGCGCAUCAGCCACGGCGCGGUGAAUACGUUCCCGGGCCUUGCACUCACCGCCCGUCAAG
rnacentral:rRNA from 1 species